CCGAUUUUCAAACCCUAAAUUCAGGUGGUCAGUUUAUAUUCGAUUAUAUAUGGCAGAUGGUUAGGAGCUGGAGCCAGCAGAAAUUUUAGUGGCUCCAGCUCCACUGAAUAUGAUCAGCUUAGCUCUAGCUCCAACUCCAGCUCCUCCAAAACUUCCUGGCUCCAUGGCUCCGGGCUCCGACUCCAGCUCCAGCUCCCCAGUCCUGGUGGGAAGGAUGAGUCUGAUGAGCUUGUACCAGCUUGGGCCGAGUCCAACAUAUGACAUUCUCUUUCCUAUGAUCUUUGAAACACAGUCUUUUGGUCAUAUUUUGUGUCCAGAUAUAUUUCGGGAAUUCGACAUUUGUGCACUGAAAACUACCUUAUAGGGGAAAUUGAAAAAAUAAUGGUUUGAUUGUUUUAAAAUGAACAGUACUUGGG
rnacentral:lncRNA from 1 species